rnacentral:rRNA from 1 species
UACAGAGGGCGCGAGCGUUGUCCGGAAUCACUGGGCGUAAAGGGCGCGUAGGUGGCCACCAUAAGGCCGCGGUGAAAGUUCGGGGCUCAACCCCGGAUCGGCCGCGGCGACUGUGGGGCUCGGGUACUGUAGAGGCAGAUGGAAUUCCGGGUGUAGCGGUGGAAUGCGUAGAGAUCCGGAAGAACACCAGUGGCGAAGGCGGUCUGCUGGGCAGUGGGAUCGAAAGGUCCCUUCAACCGACACUGAGGCGCGACAGCGUGGGGAGCAAACAGG